CAGUCGCCGCGGGAAUACAGAGGGUGCAAGCGUUAAUCGGAAUUACUGGGCGUAAAGUGCGCGUAGGUGGUUUGUUAAGUUGGAUGUGAAAUCCCCGGGAUCAACCUGGGAACUGCAUCCAAAACUGGCAAGCUAGAGUAUGGUAGAGGGUGGUGGAAUUUCCUGUGUAGCGGUGAAAUGCGUAGAUAUAGGAAGGAACACCAGUGGCGAAGGCGACCACCUGGACUGAUACUGACACUGAGGUGCGAAAGCGUGGGGAGCAAACAGGAUUAGAUACCCCCGUAGUCCCUGUCUCUUAUAC
rnacentral:rRNA from 1 species